UAGCAAGCAAGGAACUUGUACUAUGGCCAA
rnacentral:piRNA from 1 species